GAUUCAUCCGUCCAAUGGAGACUGUCCUACCGCUCAUAUAAACAUAAGCAAAAGCUGCAUGCUUAUGAAUUAGAACUGUGUCUGUAUGCCAGGGAGGAGCAACUCUCUCCCUCACUUGUGUUUUGAAACAGUCAUUGUCUACUGCUAUGUUUUCUUACCCUCGUCAUGCUGUGACUGAAUAGCACUCGAUCUCUCUGCAUCUUUUCUGUCAUUCUCAGUUCACGUGUAUGUGGCUGCAGUGCUGGAGCAGAAAACAUGGUUGUAACACUGGCACAUGGUGAUGCUGGAGAUACAUCAGCUUCUCCUGACUACGACAGUCAAAUUUAAAGCUGUCCCCAUCAUACCCUUAUACUGAAGGUGGAAAUGAUGAACCAGGAGGAAUUAAAAUCACGCACAAUGCUGGAGCUGCGUGAGAGGCUCCAGCCAGAGGUGGCUGAGCUGAUCAAGCAGCAGAGGCUGAACCGGUUGUGCGAGGGCGCCUGCUUC